UGUCUCCUCCACCGCCUCCAUGGUGGAUUCAGCCCGGACUCGCAAGAGUUCGGGCUUUUUUUC
rnacentral:ncRNA from 1 species